AUGUUCACUUUGGUAGCAUACCCACUGAAACUGGAAUAAUACAGACAGUACAAUAUUAGCAUAACUCCUGCCAGAGGAUGACAGACAAAUUUGUGAAGACUUUAACAUUUUA